AUUGAACGCUGGCGGCAGGCCUAACACAUGCAAGUCGAGCGAGCGGCGGACGGGUGAGUCAUGCCUGGGAAUUGCCCAGUCGAGGGGGAUAACAGUUGGAAACGACUGCUAAUACCGCAUACGAUUGGAUUGCCAAGGUUGCAGUAGCUAGUUGGUGAGUUAAUGGCACACCAAGGCGACGAUCCAUAGCUGGUCUGAGAGGAUGAUCAGCCACACUGGAACUGCGACAUGGUCCAGACUCCUACGGGAGGCAGCAGUUGGUAAGAUUGCACAAUGGGGGAAACCCUGAUGCAGCCAUGCCGCGUGUGUGAAGAAGGCCUUCGGGUUGUAAAGCACUUUCAGCGAUGAGGCGUUACUAGCAGAAGAAGCACCGGCUAACUCCGUGCCAGCAGCCGCGGUAAUUC
rnacentral:rRNA from 1 species